GCGAAAGAUAGGUGAGAAUCCUAUCCACCGAAUGAGUAAGGUUUCCCCCGGAAGGCUCGUCCGCGGGGGGUUAGUCGGGACCUAAGGCGAGGCUGAAAAGCGUAGUCGAUGGACAACAGGUUGAUAUUCCUGUACCGAUAUUUAAUUGCCGAAGGAAGGACGCAGAAGGAUAACACAGGCCACUAUUGGAUGUGGUUUUAAACAGUUAGUCUUCAUAAGAGUCAAAUGCUUUUAUGUUUAAGGAUAAGCUGUGAAUGUACCAAGUUUACUUGGAAAUUGUGUGAUUUCACGCUGCUGAAAAAAGUUUCGUAGGAAGAAAAUAUUGCCCGUACCGCAAACCGACACAGGUACUCAAGUGGAGAACACUAAGGUGAGCGAGUGAACUAUUGUUAAGGAACUCUGCAAAAUGAGUCCGUAACUUCGGAAGAAGGACUGCUGGUUUUAUACCAGCCGCAGCAAAUAGGCCCAAACAACUGUUUAUCAAAAACACAGGUUUCUGCAAAAUCGUAAGAUGAAGUAUAGGGGCUGACGCCUGCCCAGUGCUGGAAGGUUAAAAGGAGGACUUAGCUUCGGCGAAGGUCUUAAUUGAAGCC
rnacentral:rRNA from 1 species